GUAGUCAUAUGCUUGUCUCAAAGAUUAAGCCAUGCAUGUCUAAGUACAGGCUUUGGUACAGCGAAACCGCGAAUGGCUCAUUAAAUCAGCUAUAAUUUAUUAGAUUGUUCUCUACUUGGAUAACUGUGGGAAUUCUAGAGCUAAUACAUGCGCAAAAGCUCCGACCUUCGGGGAGGAGUGCAGUUAUUAGACCAAAACCAGCCGAGCUUCGGCUCGAACUGUUUGGUGACUCUGGAUAACUAUCAGCGGAUCGCAUGGCCUUGUGCCGGCGACAUAUCUUUCAAGUGUCUGACCUAUCAACUGACGAUGGUACGCGAUAUGCCUACCAUGGUGAUAACGGGUAACGGAGAAUAAGGGUUCGACUCCGGAGAGGGAGCCUGAGAAAUGGCUACCACAUCCAAGGAUGGCAGCAGGCGCGCAAAUUACCCACUCUCAGUACGAGGAGGUAGUGACGAAAAAUAACAAUGCGGGACUCUAUGAGGCCUCGCAAUUGGAAUGAGCGCACUUUAAAUCGUUCGACGAGGAUCUAUUGGAGGGCAAGUCUGGUGCCAGCAGCCGCGGUAAUUCCAGCUCCAAUAGCGUAUAUUAAAGUUGUUGCAGUUAAAAAGCUCGUAGUUGGAUCUGGGGUUCGGGUCGGCGGUUUGCCGCUCUGCGGCUACUGCCGUGCUCGACUCUUACUAGCCGGUGCGUCUCGUGGUGCUCUUCAUUGAGUGCCUCGAGAGCCUGGCAUGUUUACUUUGAAAAAAUUAGAGUGCUCAAAGCAGGCGGUUCCGCCUGAAUAGUGUUGCAUGGAAUAAUGGAAUAGGACCUCGGUUCUAUUUUGUUGGUUUUCGGAACUUGAGGUGAUGAUUAAGAGGGACGGUCGGGGGCAUUCGUAUUUCGGUGUUAGAGGUGAAAUUCUUGGAUCGCUGAAAGACGGACAAAUGCGAAAGCAUCUGCCAAGAACGUCUCCAUUAAUCAAGAACGAAAGUCAGAGGUUCGAAGACGAUCAGACACCGUCCUAGUUCUGACCAUAAACGAUGCCAACUAGCGAUCCGCAGUGGUUGCUAUAAACGGACUCUGCGAGCAGCUUCCGGGAAACCAAAGUGUUUGGGUUCCGGGGGAAGUAUGGUUGCAAAGCUGAAACUUAAAGGAAUUGACGGAAGGGCACCACCAGGAGUGGAGCCUGCGGCUUAAUUUGACUCAACACGGG
rnacentral:rRNA from 1 species